GAGUUUGAUCCUGGCUCAGAACGAACGCUGGCGGCGUGCUUAACACAUGCAAGUCGAACGAGAAAGAGCUCUUCGGAGCUUGAGUAAAGUGGCGCACGGGUGAGUAACGCGUAGAUAACCUGUCCAGGUGUUCGGGGAUAGCCCUCCGAAAGGGGGAUUAAUACCGGAUACGUUAGUUUGUCAUAAGGCAAAUUAAGAAAGGUGGCCUCUAUUUAUAAGCUAUCGCACUUGGAGGGGUCUGCGUACCAUUAGUUUGUUGGUGGGGUAAUGGCCUACCAAGACUUCGAUGGUUAGCGGGUCUGAGAGGAUGAUCCGUCACACUGGCACUGAAACACGGGCCAGACUCCUACGGGAGGCAGCAGUGAGGAAUAUUGCGCAAUGGGGGGAAACCCUGACGCAGCGACGCCGCGUGGGUGAGGAAGGCUUUCGGGUCGUAAAGCCCUGUCAGAAGGGAAGAAAUGUGUAGUGGUUAAUACCCAUUGCACUUGACGGUACCUUCAAAGGAAGCACCGGCUAACUCCGUGCCAGCAGCCGCGGUAAU
rnacentral:rRNA from 1 species